GUCAGAUGAGGUUAACGUGUUAUAUCAUGUCAUAUUGGUAGUUGAAUUAUUUGCAUUCGAGUGUGAUUUUUAGUAGGAUCGAAUCAAAUAUCGCGUUGAGGUUAAAGAGGUUGAAUUUAGAAAGAAGUUGAAUAGUUCAAGCUCGCUCGCCUAUUUGAGCAUCGAGAGUAUGCGGAAGACUGGGUAGACAUUUUGGAAAAGGCAAACCAAAUUUCUUUGAGUGACAGAAAAUCAUACUUCAUCGAGUGGUUUUAUGUAUUAUGCUGCCCCGAACACCCCCAACAAAAAAUAACAUAGUUUUGAAAAUCACACAUCAUGUAGAGUGAACUAUGCUCUUUCAAAUGUCGUCAAUUAACUUUGUGUAUGUUUGCCCCAGAAAGAAUGACAAACAAUUGCAGAAAGUGUAUUUUUUGGAAAAAAAUAUCAAUAACUUUCAGCGAAGUUGUGAUAUUGACAAGUUCUGCAGCACAAAAUGUUUGUAUUAGUAAGCUAAAAGUCUUUCGAAGACAGUUUGUAGGUAGAAUUUGAAAUGUAAAAGUUAACGCACAA